CUAUAAAACCCACCAGAGAUAAGAGAGAGAGAUAAUGCAUCCUGCAGUGUAUCUACUUAUGUGAAUGCACAACCCAUUGUCACAAUAGAGCUCUUUCCAUUUACAUAUCAUAUUGGAGAUGAUAUACUCUAACAAUCAAUGACUUCAAGUAACAACACAUACCAACCUGAUUAAAAAUGCAUACUAUAGAAAACACACAAUACAAUAAUAAAUGGGUGAAUUAAUACAUUUUCCAUGGCAGUACCCCAUGAUGAUUGGUUUCGGAAGUGAGUUUUUAUUUUUUUUAUUUCUUCCACCAGGUAGUACUAGCCAUGUCAGUAAAUAAAUGUUCAGUUAGUUAAAGUUCUUGUUGUUGAUGAAAGAACUCAGCACAGGUUUGUUGAUCCUUCUGUGUCCAAUCCUCCAUUAAAGUAUUGAUAGUUCUCUGAAUUUAACACCCUCAGACUGGAGUAUUGCAGUCAUACUAUAUAUAUCAAUUAUAUUUACAAAACCCAACCCAGUACCCACACCUCCCAGAACCGUACCCAAGACAACCCUCCUAUUCCUAGUUCUACUUCUUGUCACCCAUCUGACUAAAACCUUAUUAAUAGUGGAUGUGACCCUAGAACAGUUCUGAAAGUGUGAUGAAACUAGCCAAUCUGUUAGUCGAAUCAAUUGGAAAGUAACAACUAUAGGGAUAGGUCUCAGUGAACAUAUUUGGAAAUUACCACUAGAGACCACUCUAAUCUUCUGACACUCAGGUCUGCUACCAUUAUCCAUUAGUGAAGGAGUUGUAUGAAUAUAGGUGAAAGGAGGAGUCAGGAUUGUAGACUCUAUCUCUUCCUCUACAUUCAACAAGACCUUCACUUCCCCACCCCUAUUGUGUCUUACUGUUCCCCAAUUUAUCCCCUUUAUGAUUAAUGUAUCCACUAUAAUUAGUGUUAUAUGAUACUCUCUAAGAUUGUUAUUAACAUUAUAACUAGGGUUAGUAACAUUUCAUAACAUUUCAUUUCAUAUUAAUAUUUCCUCCCUCCAUAUCUACAACCAGUUUUCCCCAACCAGUCCAUAUUCAUUCCCAUUUUCCUCAACCAGACCAUAUACAUUCCCAUUUUCCUCAGCCAGUCCAUAUACAUUCCCAAUGUUCUUAAUUUCCCUUAUUGUCUUUUCCAAAAUCCCUUGAAAGAAUCACGUUGCUUUAGCCAAACAAUCUUGACCGCCCACCCAAAAUUAAAUGUCACAUCUACAUAUGGAACUUGUAGAUUGUCACUGC